GAUACCAAGAUAUGUACAUCAAAUACCUGAUGGAGAAGUUGUAGAGAAAACAAAGAAAAGGUGUUCACUCAAAAAGAUCUGUAAAUACCUUGUGUGGAUACUGACUUCACUCGGAAUAGCUGUUCUCAUUUCCCUGACGACUUUGAAUAAUAAAGAAACGAGCAAGCUCACUUCUUUGUCGGAUAAAGUUCCUGAGAUGUCAUACUUUCGGGAACAAAAAGAAGAUAUGAACGAAAUGAAAAGUAUCCUCAACAUUUUAAAGACGAAAAUGAUAGAGACCCCAAAUUCCCCCAAAAAUUCAUCGUCACUUUGUGUGCAAGAUUGCAGUUCAACUUCGGAUGGGGAUUUUCAAAGUUGCCAAACGUGUAAUGGUUACAUAACUUGUUCAAAUAGAAUACUAUACAAUAGGACUUGUCCACCGGGGAUGAAUGGUAACCUAAUGUGGGAUGACAAUAAAAAAAGAUGCAUGUUUACAAGUACCACCUGUUAGACAAACUUAUUUAUAAGUUCAUCAAAGAUUUGACAGUUUUUUCCUAUGUACC